AUGGAGGCAAAGAGAGUUAGGACUAUAGUGAUAGUUUCCUUGGUGCUUGGAUUGCUCAUAGGACAGUCCACAGCUUCUAAAUUCAAAGACUGCUAUGAAGUGUGCUUUGCUACAUGUUUCCCUGAGAAAAAAGACCCUAUCUAUUGUGGUGGCCAUUGCUUGAGAAAAUGCAUUUUCCAUCCUUCUUCUUUGGACACCCAAACAUACCCCAAACACUUCUGCAAGCUUGGGUGUGCUACUUCUUUAUGCAACAAUAUCAGCACCAAAGAUAAUCAUAGUAAGUGAAUAUUUAUAUAGAUUUGUGUAUAUGUGCAAGAGUGUGCUUUCAUGUUGGUUUUUUUUUUUUUUUUUUUUUUUUUGGGUCAAGUCAUGUUGGUUUAUGUGCUAAUUAUUUUUUAUUUUUUGUCAGAUGGAGGAAAAGUAGAGACUUGUGUGGAUUCUUGCUCAAGGACUUGCACUGCUACUUACAAUGCAGGAAAGCAUUAA
rnacentral:lncRNA from 1 species